GAUGAACGCUAGCGGCAGGCUUAAUACAUGCAAGUCGAGGGACAGCACAGGUAGCAAUACUGGGUGGUAACCGGCAAACGGGUGCGGAACACGUACACAACCUUCCUUUAAGUGGGGGAUAGCCCAGAGAAAUUUGGAUUAAUACCCCGUAAUAUAGUUGAAUGGCAUCAUUUGAUUAUUAUAGCUACGGCGCUUAAUGAUGGGUGUGCGGCUGAUUAGAUAGUUGGCGGGGUAACGGCCCACCAAGUCUACGAUCAGUAGCUGAUGUGAGAGCAUGAUCAGCCACACGGGCACUGAGACACGGGCCCGACUCCUACGGGAGGCGGCAGUAAGGAAUAUUGGUCAAUGGACGCAAGUCUGAACCAGCCAUGCCGCGUGAAGGAUUAAGGUCCUCUGGAUUGUAAACUUCUUUUAUUUGGGACGAAAAAGGGCCUUUCUAGGUCAACUGACGGUACCAGGUGAAUAAGCACCGGCUAACUCCGUGCCAGCAGCCGCAGUAACAC
rnacentral:rRNA from 1 species